UGGCAUCUGUGCCAUAGGUCUGGACAGGAACCCAGGCAUUUGUGACCCCAUAUCUUCUGAAGAAGGUGGUAUUCAUAAGGACAAUUCAUAUGAAGACACUCAGUUGAAGGAGUGGGUUUAAAUCCAGCAGGUGGAAUGGAAUUGCAACCAGUUGCAAAAAUAAGAAUGUCUUCCAUUGUUACUGCAGAUUUACCAUCCUCAACAGCCUGUAAAUAACUGUUCCAAAACCCCAAAGACUGUACGUUGGAUAAUGUGAGGACUGUAAAAAGAUCACUAAGGAUUUCUGCAGAAAGAUUCUCAGGUUUAUGACAGAAGAUGCUAUAAAGUGCUUCUGGGCCAGUGGAGAGAUGAGAAGGAAGUGGAAAAGAAAAUGAGAGAAGAGGAAAAGAGAAACAGGGAGGAAAGUGUGAACCAAAUGGAAAGCAAGUAGGAACAAGAGGACAGUUCUGAGUCAAGGUUAGGGAUUCAGUGAGGCCUGGGAGCUCUCAAAAACCAGGACAGAGACCAAAAUACAGACAUGUGUCUUGUACCUUCCAAGGCUUUGGAUGUUCCUCAUCCCCUUCCUGAGGAAGGGGAGGCUGGGCUCUGUUCCUGCUCCUUCACCUGCUAUC